CCAGCUAUUCAGAUUCUUUUGUCCCACAGGGUGAUCCCUUGAUGUGGUUUUCUUCCCCUUCUGCUAGUGAUGGUGCUUCCUGAGAGCUGGACGACAGUGAUUGUUAUUGCCCUUCUGGGUCUAGGCACACAGUGGAGCUACCGAUCUCUGGGCUGGUACUAGGAAAGUGUCUGCAAAGAGUCCUUUGAUGUGACCUGUCUUCAGAUAUCUCAGUCUUGGAUAUCAGCACCUGCUCCAGCGGAGCAUCAAUUGCUCUACAAUUUGGAGAUAUCAGACGAACAGAGGGAAAAUGCAGUCAGUGGUCUAAAGCUGCCCCUUAGGAAAUCUAAGGCUAUAUCUGGUUCCAUAAAGUCUUUAAUCAGUCAGUCAGAACAACUGCAGCAUUCCUGCCGCUCAGAAUACCUUAAUGGCCUUAGUAGCUGAGGUCCUCACAGCACUGGCAAGAGCAACAUGGCAUUGGAAUGGGAGGACUGAAGUUGUGGUUACACAUUAUUAAAGAUGAAUACUAAAGAAGCGACUAAAUAAAAAGGCAAGAAAUUGAGGAUGAUUGGUAUAAUCCCAGCAGGGAAGCAGAUGAGGAAAGGCAGAAGAUAAAGUUUUUUUUAUGUCUCUGCUACUGUGUGCUCCUCACCUACACAUGUUGGAAUAAACUUAGAAUAUUUCCUUUAUUCAAUGGUAUUGUUGUGCUAUUUUUCCAAUGAUCAGAAUCUGUGGAUGGUGAAGGGAAUGUUCAACUCUGCAAUCCUUCCAACAAGUAAAGCCAGUAAUUUCACUUAUUAACAUAUAUAUCCUAGGGAAAUUUUCCCCAUGGCAAGAAGAAACAGUAUGAGUAUGUUUGCUAUAGUUUAAAUGUCCUCUCCCAAACUCAAGCUAUUGAGAAUAUUCAUUUGGAGAUAAUACAUAUUAUC
rnacentral:lncRNA from 10 species